rnacentral:rRNA from 1 species
GACGAACGCUGGCGGCGUGCUUAACACAUGCAAGUCGAACGGUGAACUCCGCUUGCGGGGGGAUCAGUGGCGAACGGGUGAGUAACACGUGGGCAACCUGCCCUCAGCUCUGGGAUAACUCCAAGAAAUUGGGGCUAAUACCGGUUAUGACCGCUGACCGCAUGGUCUGGUGGUGGAAAGAUUUAUCGGCUGGGGAUGGGCCCGCGGCCUAUCAGCUUGUUGGUGGGGUAGUGGCCUACCACGGCGCCGACGGGUAGCCGGCCUGAGAGGGUGGCCGGCCACACGGGUACUGAGGGACGGAGCAGACUGCAACGGGAGACAGCAGGGGGGAAUAUGGCGCAAUGAGCGAAAGCCUGACGAAGAGACGCCGCGUGGGUGAUGACGGCCUUCGGGGUGUAAACCUCUUCCAGCAGGGACGAAGCGAUAGUGACGGUACCUGCAGAAGAAGCACCGGCCAACUACGUG